AUCUAUGGUCAUGCCAUCCUGAAUGUGCCCAAUCUCGUCUGAUCUUGGAAGCUAAGUAGGGUCAGACCUGGUUAGUACUUGGAUGGGAGACCACCUAGAAAUACCAGAUAUUAUAGGCA
rnacentral:rRNA from 1 species